AAAAUCUGACAAAUAGGAAUAAAUAGCUGCUCAGUUAAAAUCUGAAUAAAUAGGAAUAAAUACUUGCCCAUGUUAAAAUCUGACAUAAAUAAGAAUAAAUAGCGGAUUAAAAGUCUGAACAGAGAAUAACGUCGCUGCCCCUUUAAGGAACCAGCGUCACAGACGCGACGCCUGGGUGACGCUGCGGUGCACAAACCAGAGGGAGAGAGCAGAGGAGGAAUCGGAGGAAAAGAGCAGUUGAUUGAUUAACGGAAAAAAAAAAAGUUAAUAUUAUAGUUAAGAAGACAUAAUUUACCUGGUCGGAAACUGACUGGGAUUUUAUGAGAACUGAGUUACAUCGGUUUUGGUCAGGUUUUUUGUUCGGUUGGAAGCUCGGUCGGAGCGAAGAUUGGUCUGCCGUGUGCGACGUCCACAUUCACAGACGGGAUUCAAGAUGGCGAGCCAGACCUAGACCUUCAAUUCAUCUUUUCCAUCAUAUCAGGGAAGGACUCUCCUGCGUAUGAUAAUUCGCUGCCGGAGCGGUAGGAACUUCAGGAACUGGUUCAAACCGAACUGAACAGGAUUAAGAACUGAUUUAAGAACUGGUGAAAUUAUCAUUAUUUUUUUGGACUGAAUCAAAACCGAAGCUUUUCAUUGAACUGAGAACCUGAAUUCACAUUUGGACUUGAACUUGAGUUUAAAGUGGCAUACUUGGCUUUUCAUAUGUUAUGUCUCUGAAUGUGAAUUGAAUAAUUGUGGUCCACUUUGAUUUGUUUGAAGGUAUUUCCUUACCUGUGAAAGGAAAGAAAAGCGAGUUAACUCAGAGAAAAAAUAGGAAUCCUAAAAUAGGUGCAACCUAAGAAAAGGAGACUGGUCUAACUAACUUAAAUUAGUUUGACUAAAAUAACCUAGGAAAAAGAGACUGGUCUAACUAAAUUAGAUUAGUUUUACUGAAAUAAGCUAGGUGAACUAGUGAGUAAAAAGAAGUGAUACAUUCUUCUUUUUCUUCUUUUUUUAGGGGGGUUUUGUGUAUUGUGUUUCAUGUGUGUUUUGCAUUCAGUAAAUUGCCGGCUUUUUGCAUUUAAAGCAGCGGUCUCUGGUGUUGUUAUUCUUGCUUCCCCACUCCUUAGAGCCUAGAACUGGUCCAGUAGCGCAGUUAGCCGUGUGAUACCGGUGCUACAUAUGUCCUGAUUAACAGCAUAAUAAAUGUAACAAACCAACAGAUGAUUUGACCUUCUACUCAUUUAAAAGUUAAUAUUUUUUGUUUUGUUGGUUUAAAAAGCAGCAAAUUUCCUGGAAGUCACUUUGAAACUCCAACCCAGCAUUAGAGGUCUGCAAUCCAACUUUCCUUUUCAAAUCACAACCAAAAAUCAAAUUAUGAAGAAGUCAGAAAGUGUUUUAUUGUUUUUUAUAGUUUCAUACCGAGAACAAUAAAUGAAAAAAUGACCAUCGGACAGAAAAAGACAUUUAUUAAUCAGACUGGAUGCGGUUUGGUGAAUUUAUAUCCAGAUUUCCAGUUUAUUUUGCAGAAACUUCCUGUAAACAUGCGACAGUCGGGAACAUCAGAUCCGAAUCUGAUUCAUUUCCACAGAAAUAAAUCAGAUAUUUUUGCAGGGAGAAAAAAUGGAAAGUAGGAAAACAGUUGGAUUUGGGCAGAGCCGUAAAGUAAAAGAUAAAAGUACUACGUUAGAUUUUAGUUAAAUAUUUAUCUUUCUGAGGACUUUCUACUUUUACUUCCUACUUUUAAGAUAAAUCUGUAUUUUUACCAAUUACAUUUUCACAUAUGGCUAAAUGAGAGUUGGUAAGAAUAAAAACUGGAACGUAUCAGUACUUUGUAAAAUCUCUAUUCAUGUUGUCAGCAAAGAUUAAAAUGUAUUUUUUAUACCUAGAACUUUUUACGUAUUUUAUUGAAAGUCUUUGAGUUAAACAGUCCAACCUGUUUCACUUUGACUAGAAUAUAAAAGUUUUUAUAAAAGUUUCUGUAGGUAACUGCAGCUGUUCCUGAUCAUUUGUUUUUCAGAGAUGCAUGUUGCACCAUUUCAUUUUGAACACGUUCAGUUUGACCAAUCAUGAGGCUUCAUUUGAAACUAACUGGCCUUAUCUAUGAAUAACUUUCAUAAAACAAAAAGGUGGCAGCUGAAACAGACUUUAAAUCUGUUCAUGUUUUCACCUUCAAUCAGCCGACUUUGACCAGCUUUAGGUUAAAUUAUUCUGCAGGAUUCAGUCACAUGCAACCAUAUUAUGUGUAGAAAAGUGAGACCUGGCAGAGCUGCAUCAGCGUGAGAAUGCUGGUCAGAACAGGAGCAGACGUUUUGGUCCACCGCCGGGCAGCAGAACGGGUACGGCGCCAUAUUGUCUCCUGAAUGCCAUGAUUUCAGCUCCACCUUCACAGAGCUGCUCUUCAUCCUCACCUGCUCUGUGCUGCUCCCCAUUUAAACAGCUGAUCGUCACCAGCUCAGUGACAAAUCGUCUGGUGCUCCUGUCACAGCCUUCAAGCCCCGAUUCAUGUCCAAGGAGUUUCUGGUUUUCUGAUCCUGCCUGUGUUUGACCACUGCUUUUGUCUAGUCCCUGCUGCCAUCAGAGGAGUUUCUGACCUCCUGUUGCUGAACCCUGCCUGCCUCCUGUCUACUGGAUGUUGGAUUUUCCUUGCCUGGGACUCUCCUGUGCCCGACCCUGGACCGUUUUGCCUCUCUGGCUGGUGGAUAUUCUGAGACUCCAAACCCUCCAAACCCAGGCUGGAUUCUCGGCCGUUGUGGAUCCCGGUUCUUGACGUCGACUCGCUGCUGUUCUCCAGCUGACGGAGCGUCAUGCAGACCGACACCGACAGGGAGUUACUGUCCAAAACCAGGCGGGGAACACGGUGGCUGCCCUCACCCCGACAAGCUGGGGUUAGGAGCUCACAUCGCCCCUGACUCCACGUGUCCAGUGGUUUCUAUGGAGAGCUUGACUGCAGCGGCUCCGUGUCUGGUUUAACAGGCGGCUCCGGCCUGCCAAGAAAAACGUCUGGAGCUUAGUAAACAGCAGACACGUGCUGCAGGAGGCUGGCUGCUGCCUGAAACGUGCAGCUUCUGCAGGUGACUCCUGAUUAGUUCAAACUGUUAGUCUCAUUUUAAUUUUUGCAGAAGUAAGGGUUUUGUUGAUAUGCAGGUGUUGGAGACUUCCUCUUAAAUCCACGCAGGUUUAACAAGUCAAAAGUCCUGGCUGUGAUUCAGCUGCAGGGUCUGUUAAAGAACAAAAUGUUAUCUUUGGCUCAGUGGGUUUUCUUAGACCCAUGCAACGGCUCCACUGCUGGAGAACAGAAUAAAAUGAAUAUAAAACAUUUAAAAAUCCUCUUUUUCCAAAUAUUCCACCCAGUUUCACCAUAAAGUCUGUUUAUUUUCCCACAAUCAGCGGUGUUUACUUGUUCCCCCAGAAUCCCUGACAGAGCCAUGACCCAGUUUCUCCCGCCAGGUUUCGAUGUUUCUUGUGUUUCCUGUCUGAGUCGGACUGUGACCGAAGCCACCUGAAUGUGGGUCAGUGAAAUCUGUUCAACUGCGGCUCAAUGCCACACAAUGCACAACCAAACCUGCAGCAGACACGUUGCAACAUCACAAGUGCAAAAAAACUGCUAGUCGACAACGACCAGCAUUGGUUUUAGCUGACAAGAUGUCAGUAUAACCCAGUAAACCAUAAAUGAACGUCUGAUAUAUAAAAUAAAAAGGAACUCAGUGCUUUGCUACUAAUUAUCAACACUAAGACAACUAGAUAACAAGGUCAGGAAAAUGUUUUAAUUAAAAAUAGAGAGGGAAAAUAGGUCAGUUAUGCUAGCUUGACUUUGACAACCUUAACAUGUAGGUGUGCUGCAGAAUUCGCUCUUUCAGAACCAACAAAAUGGCGACGUACACACCAACCCUGACAGAUCAUCAGCAGCAAUAGCAGCAGUAGCUAAUAGAAGCGGUAGCUAAUAGCAAUGGUAGCUAAUAGCAACACUAGCUAAUAGCAGCAGUAGACAAGAUGUCAGUAUAACCCAGUAAACCAUAAAUGAACGUCUGAUAUACGUUAAUUUAUGGUAUAUCAGACGUUAUAUAGCAAUGGUAGCUAAUAGCAACACUAGCUAAUAGCGGCAGUAGCUAAUAGCAGCACUAGCUAAUAGCAAUGGUAGCUAAUCUACCGCAGUGAUCACUUAUUAAUAAUCGUAAAAUAAACGUCAAGCCUGAAAACAUAAAACUGUAACGAACUGAAUGUUCUGAUCUUUGUGUGGGAAAUGUUUGCGUAAUUUUGGUGUUCAGUCCAGACACAUUAUUGGGGCUGCUGUCAGUCGGUUGCUACGGCAACGGGUCUGUGUGUAGCGUAGCCGACACAGAGAGCGAGAAAAGGGCAGAACACGAGAGGUUUUGAGUUAUUCUCGAUUCUUCUCCACGGCUGCAGGUUUCAGCCAGAGCUGUCCGGGUGCUGCCACCUGUCGCCCCGACUCAGCUGGAAAGAAUCAGAGGUUUCACACUUCAGCUGGUUUCAUUUGGUUGGAAAUGUGCACUUAGCUACAGCUGCCACUUCCGCGAGUCCAACCUGAGGAGACACAGACGACGGUAAUGGAAGAACAGCAACGACAAGCGUUUCUGCUAAAAACGUGGGUUUUUUAAACUGAUGUGAUCACUCCGGGUUUGUCUGAGGAUCGAAAUAACACCACUGCCUCCGUCCAGGAAGGCAGGUUUCAACUCGGUUAAUUCAGUUGUUAUAGAAAGAGCCUUGCCUACUUUCAAGUAAUUGAUUUCUGUUUGACAGACAGGUUGCAGUCUUGCCAAAGAAAAG